rfam:Burkholderia sp. MR1 ctg66, whole genome shotgun sequence.
CGUGCCGGACGACCGCACGCGCUUCGAAUCAUCGGGGACGGCCCCA